rnacentral:rRNA from 1 species
GACGAACGCUGGCGGCGUGCUUAACACAUGCAAGUCGAACGAGAGCGUAGAGAAAGCUUGCUUUUUCUACAAUCUAGUGGCAAACGGGUGAGUAACGCGUAAACAACCUGCCCUACGGAUGGGGACAACAGCUGGAAACGGCUGCUAAUACCGAAUACGUUCCGAAAGUCGCAUGACUAUCGGAAGAAAGGAUGGCCUCUAUUUAUAAGCUAUCGCCGGAGGAGGGGUUUGCGUCUGAUUAGCUAGUUGGAGGGGUAACGGCCCACCAAGGCGACGAUCAGUAGCCGGUCUGAGCGGAUGAACGGCCACAUUGGAACUGAGACACGGUCCAGACUCCUACGGGAGGCAGCAGUGGGGAAUCUUCCGCAAUGGGCGAAAGCCUGACGGAGCAACGCCGCGUGAGUGAAGACGGCCUUCGGGUUGUAAAGCUCUGUUAUACGGGACGAAUAAUCUUGUGGUUAAUACCCAUGAGAAGUGACGGUACCGUAAGAGAAAGCCACGGCUAACUACGUG